GUUGAAACACGGGUUCACAUAUGAUCACCGAAGUUAAGCAACAUUGAGCCUGGUCAGUACCUAAAUGGGUGACCAUUUGGAAAUACCAAGUGCUGUAG